UACGUAGGGUGCAAGCGUUACUCGGAAUUACUGGGCGUAAAGCGUGCGCAGGCGGCUUUGCAAGACAGAUGUGAAGUCCCCGGGCUUAACCUGGGAACUGCAUUUGUGACUGCAUGGCUGGAGUGCGGCAGAGGGGGAUGGAAUUCCGCGUGUAGCAGUGAAAUGCGUAGAUAUGCGGAGGAACACCGAUGGCGAAGGCAAUCCCCUGGGCCUGCACUGACGCUCAUGCACGAAAGCGUGGGGAGCAAACAGG
rnacentral:rRNA from 1 species